UACGUAGGGUGCAAGCGUUAAUCGGAAUUACUGGGCGUAAAGCGUGCGCAGGCGGUAAUGUAAGACAGAUGUGAAAUCCCCGGGCUCAACCUGGGAACUGCAUUUGUGACUGCAUUGCUGGAGUGCGGCAGAGGGGGAUGGAAUUCCGCGUGUAGCAGUGAAAUGCGUAGAUAUGCGGAGGAACACCGAUGGCGAAGGCAAUCCCCUGGGCCUGCACUGACGCUCAUGCACGAAAGCGUGGGGAGCAAACAGG
rnacentral:rRNA from 2 species